rnacentral:rRNA from 1 species
AUUGAACGCUGGCGGCAGGCCUAACACAUGCAAGUCGAACGAGUGGCGGACGGGUGAGUAAUGUCUGGGAAACUGCCUGAUGGAGGGGGAUAACUACUGGAAACGUAGCUAAAACCGCAUACAAUCAGAGGUGCCCGAAUGGGAUUAGCUGGUUGGUGGGGUAACGGCUCACCAAGGCGACAAUCCCUAGCUGGUCUGAGAGGAUGACCAGCCACACUGGAACUGAGACACGGUCCAGACUCCUACGGGAGGCAGCAGUGGGGAAUAUUGCACAAUGGGCGCAAGCCUGAUGCAGCCAUGCCGCGUGUAUGAAGAAGGCCUUCGGGUUGUAAAGUACUUUCAGCGGGGAGGCGUUACCCGCAGAAGAAGCACCGGCUAACUCCGUGCCAGCAGCCGCGGUAAUUC